rnacentral:rRNA from 1 species
CUUUCAUGGAGAGUUUGAUCCUGGCUCAGGACGAACGCUGGCGGCGUGCCUAAUACAUGCAAGUCG